rnacentral:rRNA from 1 species
AAAAACAUGUCUUUUUGAGAAAUAAUUUAAAGUCCAGUCUGCCCACUGAUUUAUAUUAAAGGGCUGCAGUAUUUUGACUGUACAAAGGUAGCAUAAUCAUUAGUCUUUUAAUUGAAGACUUGUAUGAAGGAUUAGAUGAAAUAUAAACUGUCUCUUAUUUAAUUAUAGAAUUUAAUUUUUUAGUUAAAAAGCUAAAAUAAUUUUAAAAGACGAGAAGACCCUAUAGAGUUUUAUAUUUAUUUAUAAAUUAUAUUUAUAUAAAAUUUUAAUAUAAUUUAUAAAUAAAUAUUUUGUUGGGGUGAUAAAAAAAUUAAUAAAACUUUUUUUUAAAAAUAAACAAAGAUAAAUGAAUAAAUGAUCCAUAAGUAAUGAUUAUAAGAAAAAAUUACCUUAGGGAUAACAGCGUAAUAUUUUUUUUUAGUACAAAUAAAAAAAAAAGUUUGCGACCUCGAUGUUGGAUUAAGAUAAAAGUUAAAUGCAAAAGUUUAAA